CCAUCAAAAUGAAAAUCAUAAGAAAAAAAAAUCCCUGGAAGUGUUUUGAAAUAAACUUUCAAGUGUUCUCUAACAAAUUCAAAAUGUUUUAGUUUAGUUAUGUAGUUUACCUGACCUGAUCUGGCCUGGUUGUUUCAUUUCACACAUAUAUAUUUAGGAUGCAAUGUUUACUGAGACCUACAGCCUUAUCACACAGGGUGGAAGAAGCGUCUAAGGGCCCAUGGAAGCCCACACCACCCAUCAUACAAACUAAGGUAACUUCUGGUGAGGCAGCAUGGUGUGACUCUGCCACUGCCAACAUAGAAGCCGCCCCAUGUUCCAUUAGGAACGAGCUUCGGCGGAGUGACAACGCUCUCCCAUGUGGGACGGGAAAGCAUCAGCUGUCACCCAGGGCACUGAGAAUCACAAAACUGGACCUCAUCAACGUGAUGAGGUCCAUAUUGAACUACUCUUGAUUUUUGUGUUGUAGGGACUUAGAUGUAUCCUUUAUUUGUUAUUUCUACCUCUGCUACCACAUUUUCAGGAACAUAUCUACAUUGUUAAUUAUGUAGCAUAACAGUAUUUUCCUGAGCUGUAGAGAUGCAUGAGAUCAGGACUUUAAAAAGUCUCAGUGUUUUGUCCUUCUGUUUCUCUGUUUUUAAAUACUAACUAUUGAAUGAAAUGUAACAUUUCCAAAAUGCACGGAAUCUUAAUUUAAACUUCAGUGGGAAAUAUGUCAACAUAUUACGUAUUACCUGUGUUCAUGUCACUCUAAUCCAACAUCUUAGCAUAAGUAAUUAUGCCAUUAAAUGCAUUCUUCGUGAUACAGAUCAAACUUACUGAGAGGAAAACAUUAAAAAUGCAAAUUUGGGGGGCUGCUAUAAAACAAUAGGCUUUGUUGUGGCAUCAUUUUGACUACACCGUGGUUGUGUUAGAUAUUGUUUAAAUCAUAAGGGCAACCAGUAGUAAAUGCAGAACAUUUAUUAGAUUCCUUCCCUUCCUCUGUUUUAAUAUUUUCACUUUAAUGGUCAAUGUAAAAGAAUCUCAUUUACAAUUUUCCACACAGUAGUUACAGGAAAAGUUGGAGAUAGAGGAUGAUAAAGAGAAACUGACCUCAGUGGCCCCAAAGAAGAAGAAUUUGGCCAUAAAACUGAACAUAGUCAGAAGUACUUUGUAAGUCAGGCCCCUUUUUAUUUGGAGAUACUAUUGUUUAACAGCCAUUUUAAAUUGGGACCAGCAUCCUGAUUCUGGAUUGUGCAGCUUUUAUAGAACGUCUCUGCAACUUUUAAAUGUCUUUAAUACAUUUUAAAAAUAAAACUGUAAAAAAGCAGCAACCAGACUUCAAAGAGAAGACAUGUUGUGCCAGAAUUACGGAUCUGGUGCCGAUUUUCACUGGUUGUAAAGAUCUGGGAAACUUCUGCAACUAUUAAAUCUCUGAUAUAUAACAGAAAUUCACCUACUUUCCUACUCAACCACCUCCCAAACUUUUAAAUGUGGGUGGCAAUUCUGAAUGUACUUAAUCAGAGGUCACAGGUACAAAAAUGACCAAGGUAGGCUUCAUGAUCCAAUAUCAUAUUUCCAUAACCAAUAAUCACCAAUGAUAAUGAUUAUUUCAGAUCUGGUAAUAAGUCCUUGUUGCUCUUUGCUGUACCCAGAGUAAUAGAAUUGACAGCUUUCUCUUGCUCUUUUCCAACAUACCUAGUUUCUCUUUUUUUCCUACAGGUAGCUUUUGGUGAACAUUAUUUUUAAAGCUAUUAUCCUAUUAAGACAAUGAUGCUGGGGAAAAUGGAAGGAAGAGGGGCCGUCAAAGGGCAAGAUGGAUGGAUGGCAUCCUUGAAGUGACUGGCUUGACCUUGAAGGAGUUGGGGGCAGCGACUGCCGAUAGGGAGCUCUGGCGUGGGCUGGUCCAUGAGGUCACGAAGAGUCGGAAGCAACUGAACGAAUAAACAACAACAAUCCUAUUAAUCUUUCUGAAAACCAGCAUGGUGUAGCAAUUUGAGUUUGGGAUUAUGACUCUGGAGUACAGAGUCCUAAUCCCCACUCAGCAGUGGAAAACCCAUUGGAUGACCUUGUGCAAGUCACACUCUCUCAGCCUCGGAAGAAGAUGACGGCAAACCUCCUCUAAACAAAUCUUGCCAAGAAAGCCCCAUGAUAGAGUUGCCUUAAGAUCGGCAUAAGGCAGAAAUUACUUGAAGUAAUGCAAUAACUAAAAACCUACUUUUCUGCUUUUUGAACUCUGUGAAUGACUAGAUGGUAGUGGCCGUUUGUCCAUAUUCAUAUCCCUUUACUCAGGAUCAGCAAUAUAAUUGCAUGUAAUUAUUCAUAUUAUUUAUGAUACUAUACUGAAGCAAGUUCUACUAAGUUCAAGAGGGCUUGUUCCCUGAAGCAUGGGCACAAAAUUCCCCCCAUAUAUGCAGACACCUAAACCAAAGGUGGACAGUUUAUGACUCUUCGGACACUAGAAGGCAGUUUAUAUUCUAAGGCUUUUGGGAGUUGUCGUUUAUUUAUAUUUAUUUUUAUUUAGAGAAUUUUUACUUCAGCCGCAAAGGCACUCAGGCUUAUAAUCUACAUAAGAUAAAUAAGAUGUCAUACAUAAGACAUGAUGUUGCUGUGUCUUGCUGGCUGCCUCCCUCCCACUCAAUGGCCAACAGAAUGGCAGUUCAAGAAUAUCUGCGAGAAUGGUGAUUGCCAAACAGUGGAAAAGUGAAAAAGCCCCAACAAAAGAAACAUGGUUGGAUAAACUGAUUGAAAUAAAGGACAUGGAGAAACUAACUUUUUUGACGAGAAAGAGUAACGGAAGAGCGUUGAAGACUACAAAUUGGUCUACUUUUGAGGACCACCUUAAGAAAGUAACAUCAAGAAACUUGUAAAUGGAAUAUUUAAUAGAAAAGGACAAAGAUCGGAAGUAAACCCUUCCCUAGUGUGUCUCCCCUCCACAAGCUGUAGCCCACCAACACACCCUUCUCCCUAUUCCUUCCCUCCCCAUCUAAACCAAACCUUACCUCCCCCAACCCAAUUGUUUCUGUGUCUAUCGUCUAACAUCCAGUUGUGUAUAUAAGAAAACUUUCAAUAAUUUUUUAAAUAAAAUAAAAUAAAUUGUUGCUAUUUUAA